rnacentral:lncRNA from 1 species
AAAACAAAAGCAAUCAAUCCAGAAACCAACAAGCAUAAAAAGAUCGCUUCUUGUAAGAAUUUUGAAACGAUCUCCUUCCUAAAUAUAUGGCAAAAAAGGCAUUCAAUAUAUAGCACAUAUAUUCACCAUUACGUUGCAUAACAAUAAGAGAAAAAUGAAUUGACAUAGGUAAACACUUACCAAAGCAUUACAUUGUCAGAGACAGGGGAAGCUGAAACUCCAGCAGGAGGAUCUUGCUGCAUCCUCUAAGAAUUGGUUAAUAUAAGUCUUCUCGGAUCCACAACUGCCGUACCUUAAAAUCUCGCAUGAGACGUCUUCUUGCGGUCGUUGACAUUUUUAUAGCAACCUCUCUUCUAUUUGUGAUAACUUUAAAAAAAAGUUGCACAAAUAUCGAUAUCGCCUUGGAAUUACACCGAGUUAGGAUAUCCGAUUUGCGUUGUUGGAGAAGGGCAGGGAACAAUAGUAGGACCAUUCACUCAUAUGCAGUAUUUCAUUAUUAAUGGGGCGCACCCAACACGUUAAAAUAAUAAAGUGCACGCUCAGUUACCUUAUAACUAGACCAACCUUUUAGUAAUGUUCAGCAUUUGCAAUGCAAGUCUGCUUUAGUAUUAAUGAACUACUACUUCAUUUAAAUUAUAGUUAAAGAUAAGGAAAGUUGAUAUUUUUCAUUCAACCAUUAAUCAUAAUCAAGGUCCGUGCAUUUGUUAACGGUAAACUGUUGAACAUGUGAAAAUUAUAUAUAUUUACUUUAAGCCUUUGUUCUCAUUGGGUUUAAAAAAGCAACUAAAAUACAUUAGGAAGAAAAAAUGAAAGAGCAACAGGAUGUAAGAAAUAAAUUUACAUUUUCACUAGCUUAACAAUGAGAAAACACAAACAGCCAAUUUUUUACGCGUCUGCUACGUGAUUGAAAUGGUAGUUAGAAAUGUAUCUGAACUCUUCACCAUUAGAUAUUUACAUUGUGCAUAAAUUUAAUUAUCCAGAAAAAAAUCAGCUUAAUACUCUUAUUAAUUCACUGACUUAAAAAUUACUAAGUUUUGUUUGGAGUAUUUAAAAAUUGCUGCACAAGUUAAUCGACAAAGUAAAUAUAAAAAUUCAACUUACCGGUAAAUAUGUUGACACAAGAGCCGCGAUACCCAUACUGAUCAAAUGUUAACAUCCAUAGAACUACAUUAAUGCAAUGAAUUAGGAUUACUUACAAAGCCAUUGAAGUCGGAGAUGAGCUGGGAGACGUAUUUGCGUUCAGUAAAUUUGAAAAGGUUAGGAUAAAAGCAACCCAUGCAAUUAAUCUUCUCGUUAACAUGAAAAUCCUAAAAUAUCUUACAUACUUGAAACGAAGAAAUAAAGCAGCCAUACACGUGGCUGUGCUUACCAAACUCAAGCCAACUAUAAUAGGGUUAGCAAACUUAAUAAAUUAUUUGACGAAAGAAAGGAUUUAAAAUAUUCCACAAUGAACUAAAGCUUGAGCGAUUAAAUCAGCGUAACUCACGAUUGGGUUCAAUUUGAAAGUGCUUUCUACUUUACCUUCUUCAUUUGCUUUGACUCUAGCUUUGUAGGGAACGAUUAAAUCAGGUCGUUUAAGUUCUGCAGGCGCCAUAUUUUAUGAAUUUUCGUUGUCGAGACUUCAGAACUGGUGAAUGGGAUGGUUCCUCUACAAGAAUAUAAUGAAGUUAGUAAUAAAAUGUGUAAAAUGGUUUUAGGUUAGGUUAUUUAGCAUUCAAAUAUAUCGUGGGGGUUAAGAGUUCUUAUCCCACUAAGAAUUUCAACUAUUUUAGACUUGGCUAAGCAUUAGAAUUAAAAUCGAUUGCAGUACCACGUGGGGGCUUUAGCAAGUCAUAGGAGGAAACUGAUCCUACUUGGCGAGUGAGAAAUGGAUUUC